ACUUAAUGCAAACAACUGAACAAGGCAAAAGUAGUGACAAUUGUAAUGCAGGGUUCUCCCUCCACCCCCCGCACUCCAUCCUCUUCUACCGGACCCAUCACAGACAUAUCUGGGAGCUUUUAUUCACAGGAAAUAGGCUGUCUAAGUGUGUCAAACAGCUUUUUGUGAGUCCAAAACAGACUGUACCAGAGCCUGUGUACAUAUAUACCAGAAGUCAUCAGACCCUGUGGUGGACUACAAGGAUGUUGAAAAUGGACAAUCAAGGACAGUGUGCUGUAUGUCAGAAGUAUGGCAGCAAGCAGAACCACAUGAGGAGCAAAUUGCCACAACCACUACACAUCUCAGCCUGUGCAGAAGCAGCUACAUGUAUCUCACAUGUCAGGACAGGGAGGUAUAAGAUUUCACAGAUUUCUUUUGGGAGCAAACAUGAGAACCUGACAUAUGGGGAAAUGUGA
rnacentral:lncRNA from 1 species